ACAGUGAAAUGGCAGAGAGAGAGAGAGGGAGAAACAACAGGUGUAGACUAACAGUGAAAUGGCAGGGAGAGAGAAACAACAGGUGUAGACUAACAGUGAAAUGGCAGGGAGAGAGAGAGAGAAACAACAGGUGUAGACUAACAGUGAAAUGGCAGAGAGAGAGAGAGAGAAACAACAGGUGUAGACUAACAGUGAAAUGGCAGGGAGAGAGAGAGAGAAACAACAGGUGUAGACUAACAGUGAAAUGGCAGAGAGAGAGAGAGAGAAACAACAGGUGUAGACUAACAGUGAAAUGGCAGGGAGAGAGAGAGAAACAACAGGUGUAGACUAACAGUGAAAUGGCAGGGAGAGAGAGAGAGAAACAACAGGUGUAGACUAACAGUGAAAUGGCAGGGAGAGAGAGAGAGAAACAACAGGUGUAGACUAACAGUGAAAUGGCAGAGAGAGAGAGAGAGAAACAACAGGUGUAGACUAACAGUGAAAUGGCAGGGAGAGAGAGAGAAACAACAGGUGUAGACUAACAGUGAAAUGGCAGAGAGAGAGAGAGAGAGAAACAACAGGUGUAGACUAACAGUGAAAUGGCAGAGAGAGAGAGAGAAACAACAGGUGUAGACUAACAGUGAAAUGGCAGGGAGAGAGAGAGAGAAACAACAGGUGUAGACUAACAGUGAA